AAUAUUGGGCAAUGGGCGCAAGCCUGACCCAGCGACGCCGCGUGCGGGAGGACGCCCCUCGGGGUGUAAACCGCUGUCAGGAGGGACGAACCCUUCGGGUGGGAAUACUGCCUGGAGCUGACGGUACCUCCAAAGGAAGCGCCGGCUAACUCCGUGCCAGCAGCCGCGGUAAGACGGAGGGCGCGAGCGUUGUUCGGAAUCACUGGGCGUAAAGCGCGCGCAGGCGGGUGUGCAAGUCGGAAGUGAAAUCCCGGGGCUCAACUCCGGGGCUGCUUCCGAAACUGCGGACCUGGAGACCGGUAGAGGUGGGUGGAAUUCCCGGUGUAGCGGUGGAAUGCGUAGAGAUCGGGAAGAACACCUGUGGCGAAGGCGGCCCACUGGGCCGGAUCUGACGCUGAGGCGCGAAAGCGUGGGGAGCAAACAGG
rnacentral:rRNA from 1 species